UAGUGGCGCACGGGUGAGUAACGCGUGGGAACGUACCCUUAGAUACGGGACAACAUCGGGAAACUGAUGCUAAUACCGUAUAAUGUCUUCGGACCAAAGAUUUAUCGUCUAAGGAUCGGCCCGCGUUAGAUUAGGUAGUUGGUGAGGUAAAGGCUCACCAAGCCGACGAUCUAUAGCUGGUCUGAGAGGAUGAUCAGCCACACUGGGACUGAGACACGGCCCAGACUCCUACGGGAGGCAGCAGUGAGGAAUAUUGGACAAUGGAGGAAACUCUGAUCCAGCCAUGCCGCGUGAGUGAAGAAGGCCUUCGGGUUGUAAAGCUCUUUUGUCCCUGACGAUAAUGACGGUAGGGGAAGAAAAAGCCACGGCUAACUUCGUGCCAGCAGCCGCGGUAAUACGAAGGUGGCAAGCGUUGUUCGGAUUUACUGGGCGUAAAGAGUGCGUAGGCGGUUUGAUAAGUCAGAAGUGAAAGCCCAGGGCUCAACCUUGGAAUUGCUUUUGAAACUAUCUUACUUGAAUCCGGUAGAGGUUGGCGGAAUUCUCAGUGUAGAGGUGAAAUUCGCAGAUAUUGAGAGGAACACCAGUGGCGUAAGCGGCCAACUGGACCGGUAUUGACGCUGAGGCACGAAAGCAUGGGGAGCAAACAGGAUUAGAUACCCUGGUAGUCCAUGCCAUAAACGAUGUGUGCUAGUUAUUAGAGAUUCAUCUUUGGUGA
rnacentral:rRNA from 1 species